UACAGAGGUGGCAAGCGUUGUUCGGAAUUACUGGGCGUAAAGGGCGCGUAGGCGGCCUUCUAAGUCAGACGUGAAAUCCCCAGGCUUAACUUGGGAACUGCGUCUGAUACUGGGAGGCUUGAGUGCGGGAGAGGGAUGUGGAAUUCCAGGUGUAGCGGUGAAAUGCGUAGAUAUCAGGAAGAACACCGGUGGCGAAGGCGCUCUGCUAGGCCGUAACUGACACUGAGGGACGAAAGCUAGGGGAGCGAAUGGG
rnacentral:rRNA from 1 species